GUAGGUGAACCUGCGGAAGGAUCAUUGACAAAUCUAAAACAUAUUGUUGCUUGGAGGGGGGGGAGAGAGCUUUGCUGUUUUCCUUCUCUCUUCAAGUAUACAAACAUUCUAACCUGUGAAUUGGCAGUACGCAAGUACUGUUUUAUUGGUUGUGUGUGUGGCAUAUUAUGUGUGUGUGUGUGCAUCACAUUUGCUUGCUGAAUUGCAAGAGAAUGUGUGUGCAUAUAUUAUAUGAUGUGUGUACUCUGCUUCCAUUAAACAUUUACGUAAACAAUUGUCUUAACAAAAAAACAAAAACAAAAUACAACUUCUAGCAAUGGAUCUCUUGGCUUCU
rnacentral:misc_RNA from 1 species